UUUUGACCUCAAAUCAGGCAAGACUACCCGCUGAACUUAAGCAUAUCUUAAA
rnacentral:rRNA from 1 species